UCACCAGGUUGAUUCUGCCUGACGUAGAUGCUAUUUUCUAAGAUUAAGCCAUGCAAUGUUUCUGCUACAAAGGACAAAUAGCUCAGUAAAACUAGGCUCAUUUGACCUCGCGAUGCGAUAACCUGGAGAAAUUCAGGCUAAGGGCGAGGAUAAGGCCUAGGACUAUCAGCUAGUUGGUAGUGUAACGGACUACCAAGGCGACGACGGUUAACGGGACACGGGAGUGUGAUACCGGAGAGGGAGCCUGAGAGACUGCUCCCACGUCCAAGGACGGCAGCAGGCGCGAAAAUUGUCCACUCUUUGCAGGAGACAGUUAUGAAAAGUAAAAAAGAUAGGUCUUGUAAAGAGAGAUUCUAAAAUUGGAGGGCAAGUUUGGUGCCAGCAUCCGCGGUAAUA
rnacentral:rRNA from 1 species